UUGUGUCUGUGUAUGAGUGAGUUUGUGAGUCAGGGUUGGGUCAGAUUACUUUGAAAUGCAAUCCAUUACUGAUUACAAAUUACAUGGCAUUUUUUUGUAAUCAGUAACGUAAUCAGUUGGAUUAC